rnacentral:rRNA from 1 species
GAUGAACGCUGGCGGCGUGCCUAAUACAUGCAAGUCGAACGAUGAAGCUAGAGCUUGCUCUGGUGGAUUAGUGGCGAACGGGUGAGUAACACGUGAGUAACCUGCCCCGAACUCUGGGAUAACUGCUGGAAACGGUAGCUAAUACCGGAUAUGACCAAUGAAGGCAUCUUCUGUUGGUGGAAAGAAUUUCGGUUCGGGAUGGACUCGCGGCCUAUCAGCUUGUUGGUGAGGUAACGGCUCACCAAGGCGACGACGGGUAGCCGGCCUGAGAGGGUGAUCGGCCACACUGGGACUGAGACACGGCCCAGACUCCUACGGGAGGAAGCAGUGGGGAAUAUUGCACAAUGGGCGCAAGCCUGAUGCAGCAACGCCGCGUGAGGGACGACGGCCUUCGGGUUGUAAACCUCUUUUAGUAGGGAAGAAGCGAAGGUGACGGUACCUGCAGAAAAAGCACCGGCUAACUACGUGCCAGCCGCCGCAGUAA